GAUGGACUUUCAACAUUGUUUUACCUUUCAAAGUUUUCCCUUUGUCAGCUUUUUAUGAACUAAGCAAGGUGUUUAUAUAUUGCCACCUAGCCUUUUCUUCUCUCUAAAGUGAGCGCUGUGGAGUUCCAUGGUGGCCUGGUGAGUUAAGGACACAGCAUUGUCACUGCUAUGGCAUGGGUUCAAUCCCUGGCCUGGAAAUUUCUGCAGGCCACAGGCACAGCCAAAUACAAAUAAGUGCUGAAGGGCAGAAAGAGUCUUUCUCAACUCAGAAGCCCCAAACUUAGCACACUUUGUAGAACCCCUUACAUACAGGUUUGGUUUUUUUGUUUUUUGAGGGGUUUUUUUUUGGUCCUUUUGUCUUUUUAGGGCCACAGCCAUGGCACAUGGAAGUGCCCAGGCCAGGGGUCCACUUGGAGCUGCAGUCGCCAGUCUAUACACGGGAUCCGAGCUGCGUCUGCAACCUACGCCACAGCUCAUGGUAAUGCUGGAUCCUUAACCCACUGAGCGAAGCCGGGGAUCGAACCUGUGUUUUCAUGGAUGCUAGUCAGGUUUGCUAACUGCUGAGCUAUGACAGGAACUCCCAUACAGGUAUUUUUGUACAAAACCAUGUGUCCAAAACCAUCUAUACUGACUCUGCUGGGCAAAGCAGAUUACAAAUGCAAUCUACAUCAAGGCAGCCCUGACGUCUAUGACCUCUGCUUAGAAUAGAAAGUGCCAGUACCUUUCAGCCUAGAGGCUGGAAAAGGCUUCUUAAAUGCUGCCAUUUAUGUUACAUGAAAGAUACAUCUGGAUAAGAAGUAACUAAAAUAAGAAGCAGUUAAAGGCCUAGGCUUGGGGUAAAAAUGGGUUAAAAUCUAAACCAACCCUACCAUUUAAUGUCCCCAGCAAGUCACUUAACCUCUCUGAACCCUCCACUCUGCCACAAGGUGCCAAGUCCUAGGAAUGAUGGGGCAUCUGACUCCUUUGCACCUAAUGAGGUUCAGUGUCUCCAUCCUAUUCCUCUGGGUGUGAUUAAAAGUUAACACGCCAGUGUCCCACAUCUGCAUCUCCUACGAUGGGGUGUCCUCCUUGAUAAGUGAGCACUGGUGGGAGGGGAGCCCACGCCAUCAAAGACACUGAGAAGGAAGGUCAUCGCCCCCUCCCAUCCCUGGCACCGUAUGUGCUCAUGUCACCAAGACCUGGACAAUCACUGCUCCCACCAAGACCCUGAGUCUAGAGCAAGCGCUACAAGGAGACAAGGAUGGAGAUGAACAGAGCUGAGUGGCACAGUGGUAACUGGACGUCAGGGCCUGGCUGGAGCCAGCAGGGACGUCCUCACUGGAGCAUCCACAGCACAUGGUGGCUCACUGUUCUAUGUUAUGGUUUUGCUAUGGUUCUGACAAAAUAGCUUCCUUUGGUAAUUGCUGGAUAUCCUUUCAGUAUAUUCUUUUUCUGCUCAAGUCCUUAUUUGUAACCAAGAAGGUGUGGACAGAAGUGAGAAAUUUUUGACUACCUUUGGCUUCAAGAAGUUCAAGAGGAUGGCAAAAACAAAACAUCAAAAACAGUCAAACCAGAGAAGUGAUGGCUUGGAAAAUAAGACUGAGCAAAGAUUCACACUGAGAAAGUGGCAUUCACUGAGUUUGCCCUCCUCUUUUUUGUAUCCUAACCUUUACAACAGCUCCCUCCUUCAUGAAACCAAAUGCUUUCUCUGUUUGCUUGACAGAGUGGAGGACACUACAACCAGAAAACAUAUUGAUUUUCUUUGCUUUAUUCUGUUGAUAACUUCUUCAGUUCUCAAAUUUCUCUCUGAUUCUUAUAAACUGGAAGUGAUUGCUUAUUAAACACUUCAGCACUCAGUUCAGUUUAACAAAUCUUUAUUAAGCACCAUUAACAAAUCUUUGCAAAGCACCAUGGUAUGCACCAAAGUUAAACUCAAUAACAAAUGAAAACACUCUAAUUCAAAAAUUCAACUGGAGAUUUUGUAAUUAAUGGGGUUUGAUCCCCGGCCUUGCUCAGUGGGUUUAGGAUCCAGCGCUGCCAUGAGCUGUGGUGUACGUUGCAGACAUGGGUCGGAUCCCAUGUUGCUGAGGCUGUGGUGUAGGCUGGUAGCUGCAGCUCCAAUUCAACCCCCUAGCCUGCAAACUUCCAUAUGCUACAGGCAUGGCCCUAAAAAGAUGAAAGAAAGAGACAAAGAGACAAAGAGAGAAAGAGGAAGGAAGGAAGGAAGGAAGGAAGGAAGGAAGGAAGGAAGGAAGGAAGGAAACAACCCAAAAGGUUUCAAAGUGGUGACCUCUGAGCCAAAUGCAAACGACAGGGCAGAUUUAGACUGACCCACAUGGGGUUGGUGUUGUUUAAGUUUUCUAUCCUUAACUUAAAACUCAGAUUUCUAUGAAAAUUGGGAAUCCCGCCCCUAACCUCCCCGGGCUGCCACCUGGCAAUGUGGAGCCAGUUCUAGCAGCCUCUGCUCCCGUUAUAAGGGGCACAGAGUCCUCCAUGUGUCACAGGGCCCAGCCUCUGCUACUUAAUAUCAAACCCACUUCACAAAUGUACUGUCCCAAGAGGCACUAUAGAUUCUUAUUUUAACUACAUCAUAAAGUGGGCUUUUAAAAAAAAUAGACACACACACACUUAAUUCAAAUGCUUCAAAACUUCCUUUCUUUACCAGGAAAAAGAUGGAAGAAAAAAAUAUUUUUCCCCCUUCAAUCAAACAUUCUCUGGAUUUUAGGCAUUCUCGUUGUGGCUCAGCAGGUUAUGAACCUGACAUAGAGUCCAUGAAGAUGCAGGUUUGAUCCCUGGCCUUGCUCAGUGAGUUAAAGAUCUAGGAGUGCCACAAGCUGCGGUGUAGGUCACAGAUGUGGCUUGGAUCUGGUAUUGCUGUGGCUGUGGUGUAGGCCAGCAGCUGCAGUUCCAAUUCAACCCCUAGCCUGGGAACC
rnacentral:lncRNA from 1 species